CACGUAGGGGGCGAGCGUUGUCCGGAUUUAUUGGGCGUAAAGAGCUCGUAGGCGGCUCAGUAAGUCAGGUGUGAAAACUCCAGGCUCAACCUGGAGACGCCACCUGAUACUGCUGUGGCUAGAGUCCGGUAGGGGAGAAUGGAAUUCCUGGUGUAGCGGUGAAAUGCGCAGAUAUCAGGAGGAACACCAGUGGCGAAGGCGGUGCUCUGGGCCGGAACUGACGCUGAGGAGCGAAAGCGUGGGGAGCAAACAGG
rnacentral:rRNA from 1 species